UCUCUCUCCCACUCUCUCUCUCUCUGUCUCUGUGUCUCUCGGUGGCUCUGGGAUCCGUAGGCGUUCGGAGGACAGGAACAGGACAGGACACACACCCUCUGCACCAAGCAUCACAGACAUGUCGGACUCCGAGACUGCCGCUGCCCCCGCUGAGGCCCCCGUCCCUGCUGCUUGUGCCAGCAUCAAGGCUGACCUGGACAAAUGUGUGGCCGAGAAGGGAGCUGAGGGCUGCAAAGAUCUGAUGGAGGCCUUUGCUGCUUGUGUGAAGAGUGCAGCUGAGGGGACGUCAUGAGGAGUCGCCCUCCAACCUCAAAUGUCCACUGCACUGAGUCCUCCGAGUUCCCAGCAUUCCCUUCUGCACAACAGCACUGGACUGAAUGAUGACAACAAUGAUGAUGAUGACGACGAUGAUCAUGGCGUGUUGAUUCGGGCUGAAUUUGGGAUCUGGUGGCAGUAACCACAGUUUCCUCUCCCCCACCCCCCUCUGUUUUAGGCUUAUGUGGUGUCCCUCAGCUUUACCACCAUUCCCCUUCUCCCUCUACAGCUGACAUACAGCGCAUCGACUUGUAGACAAUUCCAGAGAGCUGAUGGGCUGUGAUGUAAAUUGUCGAAUACUUAUAAAUGGAAAUAAAAGUAUCAAAUAAUUGGUA